rnacentral:tRNA from 1 species
UGUCCGAUGGUGUAACUGGCAACACGACUGAUUUUGGUUCAGUAGAGUCCAGGUUCGAAACCUGGUCGGACAA